UGUGCCAGCAGCCGCGGUAAUACAGAGGGUGCGAGCGUUAAUCGGAAUUACUGGGCGUAAAGCGAGUGUAGGUGGCUCAUUAAGUCACAUGUGAAAUCCCCGGGCUUAACCUGGGAACUGCAUGUGAUACUGGUGGUGCUAGAAUAUGUGAGAGGGAAGUAGAAUUCCAGGUGUAGCGGUGAAAUGCGUAGAGAUCUGGAGGAAUACCGAUGGCGAAGGCAGCUUCCUGGCAUAACAUUGACACUGAGAUUCGAAAGCGUGGGUAGCAAACAGGAUUAGAUACCCUGGUAGUCCACGCCGUAAACGAUGUCUACUAGCCGUUGGGGUCCUUGAGACUUUAGUGGCGCAGUUAACGCGAUAAGUAGACCGCCUGGGGAGUACGGCCGCAAGGUUAAAACUCAAAUGAAUUGACGGGGGCCCGCACAAGCGGUGGAGCAUGUGGUUUAAUUCGAUGCAACGCGAAGAACCUUACCUGGUCUUGACAUAGUGAGAAUCCUGCAGAGAUGCGGGAGUGCCUUCGGGAAUUCACAUACAGGUGCUGCAUGGCUGUCGUCAGCUCGUGUCGUGAGAUGUUGGGUUAAGUCCCGCAACGAGCGCAACCCUUUUCCUUAUUUGCCAGCGGGUUAAGCCGGGAACUUUAAGGAUACUGCCAGUGACAAACUGGAGGAAGGCGGGGACGACGUCAAGUCAUCAUGGCCCUUACGACCAGGGCUACACACGUGCUACAUGGUAGGUACAGAGGGUUGCUACACAGCGAUGUGAUGCUAAUCUCAAAAGCCUAUCGUAGUCCGGA
rnacentral:rRNA from 1 species